rnacentral:rRNA from 1 species
UAGAGUUUGAUCCUGGCUCAGAUUGAACGCUGGCGGCAUGCUUUACACAUGCAAGUCGAACGGCAGCGCGGGCUUCGGCCUGGCGGCGAGUGGCGAACGGGUGAGUAAUAUAUCGGAACGUACCCAGAAGUGGGGGAUAACGUAGCGAAAGUUACGCUAAUACCGCAUACGAUCUACGGAUGAAAGUGGGGGACCGCAAGGCCUCAUGCUUUUGGAGCGGCCGAUAUCUGAUUAGCUAGUUGGUAGGGUAAUGGCCUACCAAGGCGACGAUCAGUAGCUGGUCUGAGAGGACGACCAGCCACACUGGAACUGAGACACGGUCCAGACUCCUACGGGAGGCAGCAGUGGGGAAUUUUGGACAAUGGGGGCAACCCUGAUCCAGCAAUGCCGCGUGAGUGAAGAAGGCCUUCGGGUUGUAAAGCUCUUUUGUCAGGGAAGAAACGGCUGAGGCUAAUAUCCUCGGCUAAUGACGUACC